rnacentral:rRNA from 1 species
GACGAACGCUGGCGGCGUGCCUAAUACAUGCAAGUUGAGCGAUGAAGAUUGGUGCUUGCACCAAUUUGAAGAGCGGCGAACGGGUGAGUAACGCGUGGGGAAUCUGCCUUUGAGCGGGGGACAACAUUUGGAAACGAAUGCUAAUACCGCAUAAUAACUUUAAACAUAAGUUUUAAGUUUGAAAGAUGCAAUUGCAUCACUCAAAGAUGAUCCCGCGUUGUAUUAGCUAGUUGGCGAGGUAAAGGCUCACCAAGGCGAUGAUACAUAGCCGACCUGAGAGGGUGAUCGGCCACAUUGGGACUGAGACACGGCCCAAACUCCUACGGGAGGCAGCAGUAGGGAAUCUUCGGCAAUGGACGAAAGUCUGACCGAGCAACGCCGCGUGAGUGAAGAAGGUUUUCGGAUCGUAAAACUCUGUUGGUAGAGAAGAACGUUGGUGAGAGUGGAAAGCUCAUCAAGUGACGGUAACUACCCAGAAAGGGACGGCUAACUACGUG